UCCGUAGGGUGCAAGCGUUAUCCGGAAUUAUUGGGCGUAAAGAGCUCGUAGGCGGUGUGUCGCGUCGAUCGUGAAAACUUGGGGCUUAACCCUGAGCUUGCGGUCGAUACGGGCAUCACUUGAGUUCGGCAGGGGAGACUGGAAUUCCUGGUGUAGCGGUGAAAUGCGCAGAUAUCAGGAGGAACACCGGUGGCGAAGGCGGGUCUCUGGGCCGAUACUGACGCUGAGGAGCGAAAGCGUGGGGAGCGAACAGG
rnacentral:rRNA from 1 species